UUAGCCACCUGGCUCUGAGAACUGAAUUCCAUAGGCUGUGAGCUCGAGCAAACGACCUAGGGACUCAGUUCUGGUGCCCGGCUGUGCUAU
rnacentral:pre_miRNA from 2 species